CCUACGGGCGGCAGCAGUGAGGAAUAUUGGUCAAUGGACGAGAGUCUGAACCAGCCAAGUAGCGUGAAGGAUGACUGCCCCAUGGGUUGUAAACUUCUUUUAGAUGGGAAUAAAAUGUUCCACGUGUGGGAGUUUGUAUGUACCAUAUGAAUAAGGAUCGGUUAACUCGGUGCCAGCAGCCGGGGUAAUACGGAGGAUCCGAGCGUUAUCCGGAUUUUUUGGGUUUAAGGGGAGCGUAGGUGGAUUGUUAAGUCAGUUGUGAAAGUUGGCGGCUCAACCGUAAAAUUGCAGUUGAAACUGGCAUUCUUGAGUACAGUAGAGGUGGGCGGAAUUCGUGGUGUAGCGGUGAAAUGCUUAGAUAUCACGAAGAACUCCGAUUGCGAAGGCAGCUCACUGGACUGCAACUGACACUGAGGCACGAAAGUGUGGGUAUCAAACAGGAUUAGAUACCCGGGUAGUC
rnacentral:rRNA from 1 species